GUCGUUUUUAACGAGAAAAUAUAAUUUCAACUGCAUGAGGUCGAAUUUUUUUUCGUACAAAUAAUAAAUGAAAAACAAAAUCAUUUUACACAAAAAUAAAUUAUAUAAAUAUAAAACAGUUAAUUAAAAUUUAAAAAAAAAAAAAUCUGACUUAAUUUUUUCAACCACAUGCGGUCAAAAAAUUUCAGAAAAUAUACACCCAUAGCCCGAUGAGAAUAUUUCAUCUUCCCCCAAAACUCUCUCUUCUCUUUCAAAAAAAUGCUUUACCCUCUCUAAAUUCAUCUCCCCCAAUUUUUCAUUUGACUAUACUCUCCUCUUCUUCACCUAAUUCCCUUUCUUCUACGUGCUUCUAAGCGCUAAAAUAAAGCUCCAACAACUCCAAAAAUACACAAAUCAAACUUUAUCAAUCGGUGCAGAUUUAUCGGAAAUGAGGGCAGGAUGCCGUAUCUCCGGCCACCCACUACCACCGUUGUACUCCAAGUAGGCGACGGCGUCCACCACUACCACCGGAGCAGCCACCAUCCGCCGCCGACUGAACAGUGAGCUAGAUGGUGUGUGAUAAUUGGGGCAACGUAGACGACCUUCCCAUGAUAGACGACGUAGGUCACAGGCCAAUGUAGAUCAUGGUUUUGUGGAUGAGGAUAGUGAGGAGGAUUCGGAUCAUGUCUCUAACACCCAACGUUGACUUUUUUGAUUCGUAUACUUAUGGAUUCUAAUUUUGCUAUGUUUUCUUGGAUAUGUAUAUGAUAUUUAAGUGUUUGAAUGUAGUUUUAAUUCGAAUUAGAAGUACUUUGAAGGUGAAUUUGAUUGUAGAAUGUAGUUUAUGGUUGUUUAAGUUUAUGAUGUUUAAGUGUUUCAAUGUAGUUGUAAUUUGAAUUAGAAGUACAUUAAAUUGGAAUUUGAGGUUGAAUUUGAUUGCAGAAUGUUGUAGUUUAUGAUUGUAGAAGUACUUUGAUGAA